CGGAAUGGAAUAAAAAGGAAAACACUUGAUGUAGAAACACAAGCUGUUAUUGAUAAACUUGAUGAUCUCCAAGAAGCUGGAGAAACUCCUACUAAUGCAUUUCAAAAAGUUUUUAGUAAAGAGAAUCCAGGAAGAGUUCGAUGUUAUGGAAGAACUGUUACAAAAACUUCUCUUAAGAAAAAUAAAGAAAUAGAUGAAAUCAAAAAACAAAAUGAAGAGAAAGUAACAGUUUUAAAAACUGAAUUAGAUGACCAUAAGCAACGACUGCAAGGAUUGGAAGAUAUUGUGAAAUUUAUGUUGUAACAAACUUCUCCUAGUAUGAAUGUUGAUGAAGCGCUUUCUCUCUUGCGAUCUAGGCAAUCGUCAGCAAAUAGUGCACAAGAUCCAAAUUUAGUUCCUCGACAUUCUCCUCUAUCGACUCAUAUACCAAAUCAUGAUUAGCUUUCUUAUUGUUGGAUGAA